rnacentral:lncRNA from 1 species
UAAUGUGUAAUAUUGCUGUGAACAUAGACCAGAAAAAUUAAGUUCCUUAUUCAAAUGUCUAUAAAGAGCUGUCUUCAAUUAGAAAUGAAACAUUUUCUCCAGAUUUUGGAUUUCUUUUUACCAUGGUCCCCAAAUCUUUUCAGACUGUUAAACCCAGAUUUAGUAAAUCUAAUCUCCUUCCUUUCAAAAGUAUCUAAAUUAGAUCAAGUGAACAUUAAUGCAUAAUGGGCAUUAAACAUUAAUAGAGAAUGACUAUGUUGGAGCAUAUGAUUUAGUUUUACCAAAGAAUGGAAGUUUUUUUUUUUUUUAAGUGCUUAGCACUUCCAGCAGGUAAGCUGCACUGAACUGAAAGUCUGGAAUCCAGCUUUGAAUUUACACCUAUUAUACUAUCAUUUAUCUUAAAAGCAGAUGAACUAAAAUUUUCAGUGACUUUACAUUCUUCUGUCCUCAAAUGAAAUAGUCAUGUUGAAAAAAAAUCAUUAAUCUUAAAGUGGUGACAGAUAAAAAGAAUUUAGUUUGUUGUCAAUACUUCUCAAUUUAAAGGUUAGGUCAGCCAUGGUUUUUGUCAUGACACUGAUAAA